rnacentral:SRP_RNA from 1 species
GCAGGCUGGCGGCGGACGAGCGUCUCGCCAACCCGGUCAGGUCCGAAAGGAAGCAGCCGUAACGAGCUUCGGUCGGGUCGUCGCCAGUCUGCGCC